GAUGAACGCUGGCGGCGUGCCUAAUACAUGCAAGUCGAGCGAACGGACGAGAAGCUUGCUUCUCUGAUGUUAGCGGUGGACGGGUGAGUAACACGUGGAUAACCUACCUAUAAGACUGGGAUAACUUCGGGAAACCGGAGCUAAUACCGGAUAAUAUUUUGAACCGCAUGGUUCAAAAGUGAAAGACGGUCUUGCUGUCACUUAUAGAUGGAUCCGCGCUGCAUUAGCUAGUUGGUAAGGUAACGGCUUACCAAGGCAACGAUGCAUAGCCGACCUGAGAGGGUGAUCGGCCACACUGGAACUGAGACACGGUCCAGACUCCUACGGGAGGCAGCAGUAGGGAAUCUUCCGCAAUGGGCGAAAGCCUGACGGAGCAACGCCGCGUGAGUGAUGAAGGUCUUCGGAUCGUAAAACUCUGUUAUUAGGGAAGAACAUAUGUGUAAGUAACUGUGCACAUCUUGACGGUACCUAAUCAGAAAGCCACGGCUAACUACGUGC
rnacentral:rRNA from 1 species